AUGUCUUCAUCCUCCUCCUUCGGUGCUUCCCAGACCACCCUCAGUGGACAGGUCACCGAGAAGCUAACACGCAUGAACUACGUGCUCUGGCGCACGCAGGUCACCCCUCAUCUGCGCGGCGCUGGCGUCUUCGGCUAUGUCGACGGCACCACACCGGAGCCGGCCAGGCUUCAUGUCACCAAGGACAAGGAUGACAAAGAAAGCGCUGAGCCCAACCCUCUCGACCCAAUCUGGGUUCGGGAGGAUCAA
rnacentral:rRNA from 1 species